UAUUCUUAUUAUUAUAAUUUUCUUGUCUUUAAAGUUGUUCUUAAAAUAUUAUUUUUUAAAGUAGUUAUAAAUGAAUAAUUUUGGUUAAUUAUAGAUUAUUAAGUAUAUAGUUUUGAAUAUUUUAAAUCUAGGGAAUAAAUCUUAAUGUGGUGUACCUUUUGUAUCAGGGUUUAAAUAAAAAUUAUUUUAUAAAUUUGUCUCGAAUGAUUUAGAUUUAAUUAUUUAUAAUUGUUAAUGUUGAAUAAUUAAUAUUAAAUAGAUAGUUUGAAAUGAAAAGUUAGUCGUUAAGUCAUGAUUCUAGUUAUUAAAAAAAUUAAUUUAAUUAAGUGCAUAAGUGUAACAACAAAAUUAUUUUUAAAUUCUUUGCUUUGCAUAAAUUUAUAAGGAUUUUAUUUCUUAUAAUUUUUAUAUGAAUUUGUAUUAAUUAUUUUUCUAGAAUUAUUAUUGUUUAAGAUAAAUAGGUUUUUAUAAAAAAAAUAAUUUUAUAUUUUAUUUUUUAUUCGUUAAUUAAAUUAUUUAAUUAUAAUACAAAAUUUAUUGAUAUUAAAGAUUAUUUUAAAAUUAGUAAAUUUAAAAGUUUAGGUAUAGGAACUCGACAAAAAUAAUUCUCGCCUGUUUAUUAAAAACAUGUCUUUUUGUUAUUAUUUAAAGUCAAAUCUGCUCACUGAGGGGUUAAAGAGCCGCAGUAUACUGACUGUGCAAAGGUAGCAUAAUCAAUAGCUUUUUAAUUGAGAGCUUGUAUGAAAGAUUAGACGAAGUAUUUAUUUUCUUUACUUUAGUAAAUUGAAUUUUAAUUUUAAGUGAAAAUGCUUAAAUGAUAUUAAAAGACGAGAAGACCCUAUAGAUUUUUAUUAUUUAAACAAUUUUUAUAAGUUUAAUUGCAAAAAUAAUUUAAUUGGGGCGAUUUUGUAAUACAAAAAACUUAAUUUUUUGUAACCAUUAAUUAUUGAAUUUUUUGAUCUAAAAUUUUUAAAAGAAAGACUAAAUUACCUUAGGGAUAACAGCGUAAUUUUAUUUAAGAGUUCGUAUCUAUAAUAAAGUUUGCGACCUCGAUGUUGAAUUAAGAUAAUGUAUUGGAGUAGAAAUUAAUAUAAUUAGUCUGUUCGACUAUUAAAUUCUUACAUGAUUUGAGUUUAGACCGGCGUGAGCCAGGUCAGUUUCUAUCUUUAAUCUUGUUAUUUUAAAUAAGUACGAAAGGACAAUUUAAAAUUAAAAAUUAAUUUUUUUUGAAUAAAAUU
rnacentral:rRNA from 1 species